GACGAACGCUGGCGGCGUGCUUAACACAUGCAAGUCGAACGGAAAGGCCCGCUUUUUGCGGGGUGCUCGUGUGGCGAGCGGGUGUGUAACACGUGAGUAACCUGCCCUUGACUGUGGGAUAACUUCAAGACACUGGGGAUAACACCGGAUAGGAGCUCCUGCUGCAUGGUGGGGGAUGGAAAGUUUCGGCGGGUGGGGACGGACUCGCGGCUUAUCAGCUUGUUGGUGGAGUGGUGGCCUACCACGGCGUUGACGGGUAGCCGGCCUGAGAGGGUGACCACGGCCAUUGGGACUGAGAGACGCCGCAGACUCCUAUGGGAGGCAGCAGUGGGGAAUAUGGCACAAUGGGGGGACGCCUGAGGCAGAAACGCCGCGUGCGGGAUGAGGGCCUUCGGGGGGUAAACCGCUUUCGCCUGAGACGAAGCGUGAGUGACGGUAAUGGGUAAAGAAGCACCGGCUAACUACGUG
rnacentral:rRNA from 1 species